rnacentral:rRNA from 1 species
GUAACAAUUCGGUUGACGAGUGGCGCACGGGUGAGUAACGCGUACGCAACCUACCUUCAAGUGUGGGAUAGCCCCGGGAAACUGGGAUUAAUACCGCAUAGUAUUCAGAGAUCGCAUGAUUUUUGAAUUAAAGUUCCGACGUUUGAAGAUGGGCGUGCGUGCUAUUAGCUAGUUGGUGAGGUAACGGCUCACCAAGGCGAUGAUAGCUAGGGGGCGUGAGAGCGUGGCCCCCCACACGGGUACUGAGACACGGACCCGACUCCUACGGGAGGCAGCAGUGAGGAAUAUUGGUCAAUGGGCGAAAGCCUGAACCAGCCAUGCCGCGUGAAGGAUGACAGCCCUACGGGUUGUAAACUUCUUUUGUACGGGAAGAAACACCUCUACGUGUAGAGGCUUGACGGUACCGUACGAAUAAGCAUCGGCUAACUCCGUGCCAGCAGCCGCGGUAAUACGGAGGAUGCAAGCGUUAUCCGGAAUCACUGGGUUUAAAGGGUGCGUAGGCGGCUAAAUAAGUCAGAGGUGAAAGCCAGCAGCUUAACUGUUGAAUUGCCUUUGAUACUGUAUAGCUUGAAUCAGGUUGAGGUAGGCGGAAUGUGACAUGUAGCGGUGAAAUGCAUAGAUAUGUCAUAGAACACCAAUUGCGAAGGCAGCUUACUGGACCUGUAUUGACGCUGAGGCACGAAAGCGUGGGG